UGGUAGGUUUGUAGCAUGAUUUUUGUUAUGUACAAGCAAAUUUGCGUACCAAUUUGCAUACUAAUAUUGUUGCUUUCAUAUUCUAAAUUCAAAUUAGCACUGUUUUCAAUAAAGUCUACUUUCUGACC